UUUUUUUUUUUUUGGUACAAGAGAGGGCAAAGCCCAAAAGAAAACAAGAUUAAGAAGUUAAUCGAACAUUCCUAGGCAUGCAAGCCCCGGAUAAAUCAUCAAAAAAGAUUCUUUUGACCUCACAAGGAGGAGACUCCAGCACAAGAAAAUUAAAAUGAUCUGUAGAAAUGCUUAAAUUAGCGAGUCAAUCAGCACUCCUAUUUCCUUCAC
rnacentral:lncRNA from 1 species